ACUCAAAUGAAUUGACGGGGGCCCGCACAAGCGGUGGAGCAUGUGGAUUAAUACGUCAUUAACCGUAGAACCUUACCCAGGCUUGACAUCUCCGGAACCCCUGUGAAAGCGGGGGGUGCCUCGCAAGAGGAGCCGGAAGACAGGUGUUGCAUGGCUGUCGUCAGCUCGUGUCGUGAGAUGUUGGGUUAAGUCCCGCAACGAGCGCAACCCUCACCGUAUGUUGCCAGCGUCAAGUCGGGCACUCUUACGGAACUGCCCGGGUAACCGGGAGGAAGGUGGGGACGACGUCAAGUCAGCAUGGCCCGUACGCCUGGGGCUUCACACAUGCUACAAUGGCCGGUACAGAGGGCUCCGAUACCGUGAGGUGGAGGCAAUCCCAAAAAGCCGGUCUCAGUUCGGAUCGCAGGCUGCAACUCGCCUGCGUGAAGUCGGAAUCGCUAGUAAUUGCCGGUCAGCUAAACGGCAGUGAAUACGUUCCCGGGCCUUGUACACACCGCCCGU
rnacentral:rRNA from 1 species